UUGGUCUACACAACUCAGAAUGACUUGAAAUCAGUGGUAAAAAUUCAAUAAGAUAUAGACCUACAAAUUUGCUCUUUUGACCAGAACCUAAAAACUAAGGAAAACAAGACAAUUAGCUAGAUCAAUCUAGCAAAUAAAAUCUAGAAAUUUACCAUUACUAUACAAUAAAGCCUUAGAAAUAAAAUUGGCAAUAAAUGCCAACUUGUAAGAAUUAUAAAAUGUACUAUAUUGAUAACAUGUUGGAAUUAUUAUGAGAUGUGAUACUGAAAUAUUGUAAAUUGUGUGUUUCAGUUGAAAA
rnacentral:misc_RNA from 1 species